rnacentral:rRNA from 1 species
GUUGAAUGCUGGCGGCAUGCCUUACACAAGCAAGUCGAACGGCAGCACGGGAGCAAUCCUGGUGGCGAGUGGCGAACGGGUGAGUAAUAUAUCGGAACGUGCCCAGUCGUGGGGGAUAACGCAGCGAAAGCUGUGCUAAUACCGCAUCCGAUCUACGGAUGAAAGCGGGGAUCGCAAGACCUCGCUCGAUCGCAGCGGCAGAUACCAGAUUAGCUAGUUGGUGAGGUAAAGGCUCACCAAGGCGACGAUCUGGAGCUGGUCUGAGAGGACGACCAGCCACACUGGAACUGAGACACGGUCCAGACUCCUACGGGAGGCAGCAGUGGGGAAUUUUGGACAAUGGGCGAAAGCCUGAUCCAGCAAUGCCGCGUGCAGGAUGAAGGCCUUCGGGUUGUAAACUGCUUUUGUACGGAACGAAACGGUGAGCUCUAAUACAGUUUGCUAAUGACGGUACCGUAAGAAUAAGCACCGGCUAACUACGUGCCAGCCGCCGCGGUAA